GCUUCGACAGGCAUAUGCAUGAACAGAGGUUUUGACGCAUUGGCACUUGAAGAAUGAUUACGCUGAUGAUCCAACUUCUUAGGAAGCUGCAAUUCACCGGUUGGAGCUUGCCAACGAGGUACCCGCAUUCCUUUUCAUUUGAUCUAUGCAAGUUUAAAUGCCAUUCUUCAAGAAUUAUUCAAGCUUUUCAAAGGUUAUGUUCGCUCCUGACCAUCGUGUAUAAUUUUUACUCGAAUUUUGUCGACCGACGAAGCUUUCACUCUCAGGUGGCCAUCUUGCGGAUUGAUGGAGCAAGCAAUGCAGCAGCCGUCUCCUUCCAUCUGUCUAUCAAAGCGAUCGAAAGACUUUCGCUACGUGUAAAACGACGGCACAGGAAGAGUAAGCUUAAGUUCUUAGUGGUGAAGCUUCUCUUUUUUCACGGUCGGUGACCACUAUUGCAAAGGAAAUCCUGAGAGCAAAGGAGAAGGGCAAUGCAAUGCAAGAGAAAAGCCGAAAAGCUCUUCAAGCAAAGGAUCCACGACUUCUCUUCAAGCGUCUCUCUCUCUCUCUUUUCGGUGAGUGUUCCUUUUGGUGGGUAUCACUGUCGUCGUUCAUGAUAAACAAACGCAGGAAGGAACUUUUGCUACUCAAAACAAUGAGAACAUAGCGAAGGUUAAUGGAAUGGAAAGAUUUGUA